rnacentral:rRNA from 1 species
AGGCGCGAAACCUUUACACUGCACGCCAGUGGAAUAAGGGGAUCCCAAGUGCGUAGGCAUAGAGCCUACGCUUUUGUCCACCCUAGGGUGGUGGACGAAUAAGGGCUGGGCAAGACCGGUGCCAGCCGCCGCGGUAAUACCGGCAGCCCGAGUGAUGGCCGAUCUUAUUGGGCCUAAAGCGUCCGUAGCUGGCCGCACAAGUCCAUCGGGAAAUCCACCUGCUCAACAGGUGGGCGUCCGGUGGAAACUGUGUGGCUUGGGACCGGAAGGCGCGACGGGUACGUCUGGGGUAGGAGUGAAAUCCUGUAAUCCUGGACGGACCGCCGAUGGCGAAAGCACGUCGCGAAGACGGAUCCGACAGUGAGGGACGAAAGCUAGGGUCUCGAACCGGAUUAGAUACCCGGGUAGUCCUAGCCGUAAACACUGCCUGCUAGGUGUGGCACCCACUACGAGUGGGCGCUGUGCCGUAGGGAAGCCGCUAAGCAGGCCGCCUGGGAAGUACGUCCGCAAGGAUGAAACUUAAAGGAAUUGGCGGGGGAGCACUACAACCGGAGGAGCCUGCGGUUUAAUUGGACUCAACGCCGGACAUCUCACCAGCAUCGACUGUACUAAUGACGACCAGGUUGAUGACCUUGUCCGAGGUACAGAGAGGAGGUGCAUGGCCGCCGUCAGCUCGUACCGUGAGGCGUCCUGUUAAGUCAGGCAACGAGCGAGACCCGCAUCGAUACUUGCCAGCAACGCUGUGAAGCGGUUGGGGACAGUAUCGAGACUGCCGUGGCCAACACGGAGGAAGGAACGGGCAACGGUAGGUCAGUAUGCCCCGAAUGUGCUGGGCAACACGCGGGCUACAAUGGUCGAGACAAAGGGUUCCAACUCCGAAAGGAGACGGUAAUCUCAGAAACUCGAUCGUAGUUCGGAUUGUGGGCUGCAACUCGCCCACAUGAAGCUGGAUUCGGUAGUAAUCGCGUGUCACAAGCGCGCGGUGAAUACGUCCCUG